rnacentral:rRNA from 1 species
AAAGAUUAAGCCAUGCAUGUCUAAGUGUGUUCACAACCACGUGGACGAACUGCGGACGGCUCAUUACAAGAGAAAUAAUCUACCCGAUUGUGCAAAGCUACAUGGAUAACUGCGGUAAUUCCGGAGCCAAUACACGCAAAAAGCCGUGCCCGAGAGGGUGCGUGCUGUGUUUAUUAGAGUAAAACCAACUUUAACCCUUGGUGAACCAUGAUAACUGUCGGACCCUAUGGCUUUACGCCGAGGGCCUUCGGUCGAGUUUCUCACCUAUCAGGUUGUCGGUAGUGUCUUGGACUACCGAGCCGGUGACGGGUACGGGGGAUCAGGGUCUGAUUCCGGAGAGUGAGCCUGAGAAACGGCUGACACUUCCAAGGAAGGCAGCAGGCGCGAAAAUUACCCAAUGCGAAGACCGUGAGGUAGUGACAAAAAAUAACAAGAUCAGUGGUGUUUCACCACCGAUCAUUGGAAUGAGGUAGAGGUAAAACGCCUACCGAGUAACUAGUGGAGGGCAAGUCUGGUGCCAGCAGCCGCGGUAAUUCCAGCUCCACGAGUGUAUUUGUACGUUGUUGUGGUUAAAAAGCUCGUAGUCGGAUUUCACGCAGGUUCGUGCUUGUGCCCGUCGAAAUGACGGACCUUCACCGCCUGCGUUACCUGUGCAUAUUGGGGCGGCGCAAUUAACUUUGUACCGUUCCCGAGUGCACACGUUCACUUUGAAUAACUCAUAAAGCUCAAAUUAGCCCGUUGGCUGAUUGCUUCUGCAUGGCACGAUGUAACAAGACUUGUUUUUGUUUCGUUGGUUUGAUAAAAACGAGUAAUGAUAAAUAGGAGCGGUUGGGGAAUUCAGUAUUUAGGGUGAAGCGGUGAAAUGCUGGGAUCCCCUAAAGACUAACUAAUGCGAAGGCUUUAUUCAAAGACGCCUCCAUUGAUCAAGAACGAAAGUAUGGGUAGCGAAGAUGAUCAGAUACCGUCGUAGUCCAUACCGUAAACUAUGCCGGCUAAGGAUUCGAAGAUGAUUAACGAAUGUCUCCUCGAGCACUUUAGAGAAAUUAUAAGCCCUUAGGUUCCAGGGGGAGUAUAGUCGCAAGGCCGAAACUUAAAGGAAUUGACGGAAGGGCACCACCAGCGGUGGAGCUUGCGGCUUAAUUUGACCCAACACGGGAAAACUUACCAGGGCAGGACAUAAUAAGGAUUAUCAGAUUGAGAGCUCUUAUAUGAUUUUUUGGGUGGUGGUGCAUGGCCGUUCUUAGUUGGUGGAGUGAUUUGUCUGGUUGAUUCCGUUAACGAGCGAGACCUUAACCGUUAAAUAGCCACGCGAGCCGCCUGACACGCGUUGAAGGGGUCCCGGCAGCCCGGCCUAACGGCUGGUCUCUGGGGUCCUGGAUGCGCUGGUGCGCUCGUGGAUGCGCUUCUUAACGGGACUCCUUGCAUCCAGCAAGGGGAAGUUUGAGGCAAUAACAGGUCUGCAUGCCCUUAGAUGUUCUGGGCCGCACGCGUGCUACACUGACGAUUUCAACGAGUACCUCCUGUCCCGAAAGGGCUGGGUAAUCUUCAACGAUCGUCGUGCUGGGGCUUGCGCCUUGCAAUUUUUGCGCAUAAACGAGGAAUCCCUUGUAGUUGUGAGUCAUCAACUCGCGACGAAUACG